rnacentral:rRNA from 1 species
ACAAUGGAGAGUUUGAUCCUGGCUCAGGAUGAACGCUAGCGGGAGGCCUAACACAUGCAAGCCGAGCGGUAGAGAUUCUUCGGAAUCUUGAGAGCGGCGUACGGGUGCGGAACACGUGUGCAACCUGCCUUUAUCUGGGGGAUAGCCUUUCGAAAGGAAGAUUAAUACCCCAUAAUAUAUUGACUGGCAUCAGUUGAUAUUGAAAACUCCGGUGGAUAGAGAUGGGCACGCGCAAGAUUAGAUAGUUGGUGAGGUAACGGCUCACCAAGUCUACGAUCUUUAGGGGGCCUGAGAGGGUGAUCCCCCACACUGGUACUGAGACACGGACCAGACUCCUACGGGAGGCAGCAGUGAGGAAUAUUGGACAAUGGGUGAGAGCCUGAUCCAGCCAUCCCGCGUGAAGGACGACGGCCCUAUGGGUUGUAAACUUCUUUUGUAUAGGGAUAAACCUACUCUCGUGAGAGUAGCUGAAGGUACUAUACGAAUAAGCACCGGCUAACUCCGUGCCAGCAGCCGCGGUAAUACGGAGGGUGCAAGCGUUAUCCGGAUUUAUUGGGUUUAAAGGGUCCGUAGGCGGAUCUGUAAGUCAGUGGUGAAAUCUCACAGCUUAACUGUGAAACUGCCAUUGAUACUGCAGGUCUUGAGUGUUGUUGAAGUAGCUGGAAUAAGUAGUGUAGCGGUGAAAUGCAUAGAUAUUACUUAGAACACCAAUUGCGAAGGCAGGUUACUAAGCAACAACUGACGCUGAUGGACGAAAGCGUGGGGAGCGAACAGGAUUAGAUACCCUGGUAGUCCACGCCGUAAACGAUGCUAACUCGUUUUUGGGGCUUCGGCUUCAGAGACUAAGCGAAAGUGAUAAGUUAGCCACCUGGGGAGUACGUUCGCAAGAAUGAAACUCAAAGGAAUUGACGGGGGCCCGCACAAGCGGUGGAUUAUGUGGUUUAAUUCGAUGAUACGCGAGGAACCUUACCAAGGCUUAAAUGGGAAAUGACAGGUUUAGAAAUAGACUUUUCUUCGGACAUUUUUCAAGGUGCUGCAUGGUUGUCGUCAGCUCGUGCCGUGAGGUGUUAGGUUAAGUCCUGCAACGAGCGCAACCCCUGUCACUAGUUGCCAUCAUUAAGUUGGGGACUCUAGUGAGACUGCCUACGCAAGUAGAGAGGAAGGUGGGGAUGACGUCAAAUCAUCACGGCCCUUACGCCUUGGGCCACACACGUAAUACAAUGGCCAGUACAGAGGGCAGCUACACAGCGAUGUGAUGCAAAUCUCGAAAGCUGGUCUCAGUUCGGAUUGGAGUCUGCAACUCGACUCUAUGAAGCUGGAAUCGCUAGUAAUCGCGCAUCAGCCAUGGCGCGGUGAAUACGUUCCCGGGCCUUGUACACACCGCCCGUCAAGCCAUGGAAGUCUGGGGUACCUGAAGUCGGUGACCGUAACAGGAGCUGCCUAGGGUAAAACAGGUAACUAGGGCUAAGUCGUAACAAGGUAGCCGUACCGGAAGGUGCGGCUGGAACAUCUCAUUUUAGA